CGCUCAGCGCUGCCCCUGUCCAAUGCUGUAAUGGACGUUUUCCAACUACAGAGGACACCGCUUCCCGCAGCCGCCUGGGGGGCCGUGGCUUUUCCUCUUCAGAGUCACAGGAGCACUUUCUGUCCUGGUUACAGUCAUGUGUCAGCCGGAGAGGGCCCAGGCAUGCCAGGGGUCAGCGUGACCUCAGCAGUGCCCAGGAGGCUGCGUCUGUGUAAGAUCAGCGUCUGUGUUUCCACACUCAGGGAAGCAGGUGGCCCGCAGCGAAUCUCAUCUCCCCAGGGCCUGGCAGAGCUGCCAGCAGAGAACAGGGAUUUGGGCCUCUGAUUUUCCGCCUAAUGGCUGGGCUGGGCUUGCACAGCACUGUGCCUGCUCUCCUACGGAUCCUUCCACAGCCAGCUCUCCUGGGCCCAGACCUUGGGGUCUGACGGAACCCACAGAGCGAGGAUGGUGGCGGAUCACAGAUGCCUCCACCUCUGCUGCCCUCAGGAUUCGGCCCAGACAAUGUAGACGGCCCGUUGCUCUCACUCACUGGAGCUCCGAACCUCCCGCCGCUGCAGACUCCUGGCUUUCUGUCUCUUUGUUUCACGGUUUCAGAUACUUCUAAGGCUCUCUAAGGCUGAGUCGUGCUAACUUUGUCCUCCGUGACUGGUCUGCUUCACUUAGAGUAACGUCCUCAACUUUCACCACGAGACACACAGGGCCAGACUCCCAUCCUUUAGAAAGAAAUACACACUCACAGAAGGAGCGCAUAUCUGGGCACGUCUCUCCGCUUGGCAGAGGAAGGAAAGCCCUUCGGUAUGCAGUUAUUGAAAAUUCCCAUUGGGAUGCCAAGAAAGUUCUCUUCCAUUUUGUUGUUUUGUCUUAGACUUUUGGAUCUUAGCUUUUCAAUUAUUGUUUCUCUGUACAAAUAAAUAUUAGAACUGACCUUUGACGUCAACAAAUAAAGUUUUCCAAUAUAUGAGAGUAACUUAACAUUAAUCCCUAUUGAUUGUUUUCUCCAAAGUUUAACAAUUUUAAAUAGUCUAAAUAGUCUACUUAAUGUUCUGAACUGUUUCAAGGUUUGAGUGUUAGUAAAAAUUAUUUUCCUUGAAUAAUCAGUUUUCUAAGUUUACACCGCUAAGGGAGAAAAGCCACGACGCUUCGCACCACACUCACCCCAGCAGUAUUCUGGGGGCUGGAUGAUUGAAUGGUCGUGCGGUCUCCCAGGAGAGGCGGUUUUCUGUCAGUCUUCUGCAGGUUUCUUUCCUUCUGUUUUCGUGUCUUGCUGUGCUGCAGAGUUCCUCUACUUGGGUGUCUUCUUCCAGCGCUCAGCUGUCCGUGUUCUGCUCCCCAGAAUGCGUGGCUGUACUGUAAGAGGUACGAGGGCUUCGGUUUGUCAGCUUUGAUGCUUCAGCUCUGUUUCACUGCCCCUUCACACUGUUCUUUCAGUUUCUAGUUCAUGUGUCUGUCCCUGAUCUCUCCCUUGCUGGUCUAGGGUUUGGUUUAUUCUUAUUUUUCUAAGACCUUGAUUGCGUUAUUGUUAUUUAAUUUAGAUCUAAUUUAAAUCUUUAAUACUACACAUUUCCCUCAAUGCACUGCAUUAUGUACAUCCUAUACAUAUUUAUAUAGUGGAUUUAAAUUGUAAUUCAUUUAAAAAGAUAUUGUAAUUUCCCGUGAGAUUUCUUCUUUGAUACACAGUCUAUUUUGCUGUGUUCUGAUUAUUUUACAAACUUCAGGGCAUUAUACAUUUACCAGAUAUCGAUUUUUUAUUUAAUUCAUUGUGGCCAAACAAUAUACUGUGUUCAGUUUCAACUAUUUUAAAUGCUUUGAAGUCUAAGAAUUUAAUUUUUUAAACAGCUACCUAGAUUUCUUGAUGUCAUUUGGUAAGCAAUCUAUUUUUCUAAUUAAAAGCACCAGCAACAUA